rnacentral:rRNA from 1 species
AACAGGAUUNNAUACCCUGGUAGACCACGCAGUAAACGAUGAAUACUAAUUGUUCGGGGGGCAACCCCUGAGUGAUACAGCGAAAGCGUUAAGUAUUCCACCUGGGGAGUACGCCGGCAACGGUGAAACUCAAAGGAAUUGACGGGGGCCCGCACAAGCGGAGGAACAUGUGGUUUAAUUCGAUGAUACGCGAGGAACCUUACCCGGGCUCAAACGUUGGGGGAAUGCUCCUGAAAGGGAGCAGCCAGCAAUGGUCGCCAACGAGGUGCUGCAUGGUUGUCGUCAGCUCGUGCCGUGAGGUGUCGGCUUAAGUGCCAUAACGAGCGCAACCCCUGCGUCCAGUUACCAUCAAGUCAUGUUGGGGACUCUGGACGGACUGCCGGCGCAAGCCGUGAGGAAGGCGGGGACGACGUCAAAUCAGCACGGCCCUUACGUCCGGGGCGACACACGUGUUACAAUGGCGUGGAACAGCGGGAAGCCACCUGGCGACAGGGAGCGGACCCCUAAAACACGUCUCAGUUCGGAUUGGAGUCUGCAACUCGACUCCAUGAAGCUGGAUUCGCUAGUAAUCGCGCAUCAGCCAUGGCGCGGUGAAUACGUUCCCGGGCCUUGUACACACCGCCCGUCAAGCCAUGGGAGCCGGGAGUGCCUGAAGUACGUAACCGGAAGGAGCGUCCAAGGGUAACACUGGUGACUGGGGCUAAGUCGUAACAAGGUAACCA